GUGUUAGUGGAAGCGUCUGGAAAGGCGCGCGAUACAGGGUGACAGCCCCGUACACAAAAAUGCACAUACUGUGAGCUCGAUGAGUAGGGCGGGACACGUGGUAUCCUGUCUGAAUAUGGGGGGACCAUCCUCCAAGGCUAAAUACUCCUGACUGACCGAUAGUGAACCAGUACCGUGAGGGAAAGGCGAAAAGAACCCCGGCGAGGGGAGUGAAAAAGAACCUGAAACCGUGUACGUACAAGCAGUGGGAGCCUCUUAAUGGGGUGACUGCGUACCUUUUGUAUAAUGGGUCAGCGACUUAUAUUCUGUAGCAAGGUUAACCGAAUAGGGGAGCCGAAGGGAAACCGAGUCUUAACUGGGCGUUAAGUUGCAGGGUAUAGACCCGAAACCCGGUGAUCUAGCCAUGGGCAGGUUGAAGGUUGGGUAACACUAACUGGAGGACCGAACCGACUAAUGUUGAAAAAUUAGCGGAUGACUUGUGGCUGGGGGUGAAAGGCCAAUCAAACCGGGAGAUAGCUGGUUCUCCCCGAAAGCUAUUUAGGUAGCGCCUCGUGAAUUCAUCUCCGGGGGUAGAGCACUGUUUCGGCAAGGGGGUCAUCCCGACUUACCAACCCGAUGCAAACUGCGAAUACCGGAGAAUGUUAUCACGGGAGACACACGGCGGGUGCUAACGUCCGUCGUGAAGAGGGAAACAACCCAGACCGCCAGCUAAGGUCCCAAAGUCAUGGUUAAGUGGGAAACGAUGUGGGAAGGCCCAGACAGCCAGGAUGUUGGCUUAGAAGCAGCCAUCAUUUAAAGAAAGCGUAAUAGCUCACUGGUCGAGUCGGCCUGCGCGGAAGAUGUAACGGGGCUAAACCAUGCACCGAAGCUGCGGCAGCGACACUAUGUGUUGUUGGGUAGGGGAGCGUUCUGUAAGCCUGUGAAGGUGUACUGUGAGGUAUGCUGGAGGUAUCAGAAGUGCGAAUGCUGACAUAAGUAACGAUAAAGCGGGUGAAAAGCCCGCUCGCCGGAAGACCAAGGGUUCCUGUCCAACGUUAAUCGGGGCAGGGUGAGUCGACCCCUAAGGCGAGGCCGAAAGGCGUAGUCGAUGGGAAACAGGUUAAUAUUCCUGUACUUGGUGUUACUGCGAAGGGGGGACGGAGAAGGCUAUGUUGGCCGGGCGACGGUUGUCCCGGUUUAAGCGUGUAGGCUGGUUUUCCAGGCAAAUCCGGAAAAUCAAGGCUGAGGCGUGAUGACGAGGCACUACGGUGCUGAAGCGACAAAUGCCCUGCUUCCAGGAAAAGCCUCUAAGCAUCAGGUAACAUCAAAUCGUACCCCAAACCGACACAGGUGGUCAGGUAGAGAAUACCAAGGCGCUUGAGAGAACUCGGGUGAAGGAACUAGGCAAAAUGGUGCCGUAACUUCGGGAGAAGGCACGCUGAUAUGUAGGUGAAGCGACUUGCUCGUGGAGCUGAAAUCAGUCGAAGAUACCAGCUGGCUGCAACUGUUUAUUAAAAACACAGCACUGUGCAAACACGAAAGUGGACGUAUACGGUGUGACGCCUGCCCGGUGCCGGAAGGUUAAUUGAUGGGGUUAGCGGUAACGCGAAGCUCUUGAUCGAAGCCCCGGUAAACGGCGGCCGUAACUAUAACGGUCCUAAGGUAGCGAAAUUCCUUGUCGGGUAAGUUCCGACCUGCACGAAUGGCGUAAUGAUGGCCAGGCUGUCUCCACCCGAGACUCAGUGAAAUUGAACUCGCUGUGAAGAUGCAGUGUACCCGCGGCAAGACGGAAAGACCCCGUGAACCUUUACUAUAGCUUGACACUGAACAUUGAGCCUUGAUGUGUAGGAUAGGUGGGAGGCUUUGAAGUGUGGACGCCAGUCUGCAUGGAGCCGACCUUGAAAUACCACCCUUUAAUGUUUGAUGUUCUAACGUGGGCCCCUUACCGGGGUUGCGGACAGUGUCUGGUGGGUAGUUUGACUGGGGCGGUCUCCUCCUAAAGAGUAACGGAGGAGCACGAAGGUUGGCUAAUCCUGGUCGGACAUCAGGAGGUUAGUGCAAUGGCAUAAGCCAGCUUGACUGCGAGCGUGACGGCGCGAGCAGGUGCGAAAGCAGGUCAUAGUGAUCCGGUGGUUCUGAAUGGAAGGGCCAUCGCUCAACGGAUAAAAGGUACUCCGGGGAUAACAGGCUGAUACCGCCCAAGAGUUCAUAUCGACGGCGGUGUUUGGCACCUCGAUGUCGGCUCAUCACAUCCUGGGGCUGAAGUAGGUCCCAAGGGUAUGGCUGUUCGCCAUUUAAAGUGGUACGCGAGCUGGGUUUAGAACGUCGUGAGACAGUUCGGUCCCUAUCUGCCGUGGGCGCUGGAGAACUGAGGGGGGCUGCUCCUAGUACGAGAGGACCGGAGUGGACGCAUCACUGGUGUUCGGGUUGUCAUGCCAAUGGCACUGCCCGGUAGCUAAAUGCGGAAGAGAUAAGUGCUGAAAGCAUCUAAGCACGAAACUUGCCCCGAGAUGAGUUCUCCCUGACUCCUUGAGAGUCCUGAAGGAACGUUGAAGACGACGACGUUGAUAGGCCGGGUGUGUAAGCGCAGCGAUGCGUUGAGCUAACCGGUACUAAUGAACCGUGAGGCUUAACCUU
rnacentral:rRNA from 1 species